rfam:Ovis aries breed Texel chromosome 1, whole genome shotgun sequence.
UCCUAGGUAGCUCAGAUGGUAAAGAAUCUACCUGCAAUGCAGGAGACCCAGGUUUGAUCCCUGGGUUGGGAA